rnacentral:rRNA from 1 species
GGGCCCGCACAAGCGGUGGAGCAUGUGGUUUAAUUCGAUGAUACGCGAGGAACCUUACCAGGGCUUAAAUGUAAGUUGCAUAGAUCAGAGAUGGUCUUUUCUUCGGACUACUUACAAGGUGCUGCAUGGUUGUCGUCAGCUCGUGCCGUGAGGUGUCAGGUUAAGUCCUAUAACGAGCGCAACCCCUGCCGUUAGUUGCCAGCAUGUAAUGUUGGGUACUCUAGCGAGACUGCCGGUGCAAACCGUGAGGAAGGUGGGGAUGACGUCAAAUCAUCACGGCCCUUACGUCCUGGGCUACACACGUGCUACAAUGGCCGGUACAGAGAGCAGCCACUACGCGAGUAGGAGCGAAUCUUCAAAAGCCGGUCUCAGUUCGGAUCGCAGUCUGCAACUCGACUGCGUGAAGCUGGAAUCGCUAGUAAUCG